rnacentral:rRNA from 1 species
GACGAACGCUGGCGGCGUGCUUAACACAUGCAAGUCGAGCGAGAAACCUUCGGGUUUCUAGCGGCGGACGGGUGAGUAACACGUGGGUAACCUGCCUCAAAGAGGGGGAUAGCCUUCCGAAAGGAAGAUUAAUACCGCAUAAUAUUACAGUUUUGCAUGAGCAGUAAUUAAAGGAGUAAUCCGCUUUGAGAUGGACCCGCGGCGCAUUAGCUAGUUGGAGAGGUAACGGCUCACCAAGGCAACGAUGCGUAGCCGACCUGAGAGGGUGAUCGGCCACAUUGGAACUGAGACACGGUCCAGACUCCUACGGGAGGCAGCAGUGGGGAAUAUUGCACAAUGGGCGAAAGCCUGACGCAGCAACGCCGCGUGAGUGAUGAAGGUCUUCGGAUUGUAAAGCUCUGUCUUUUGGGACGAUAAUGACGGUACCAAAGGAGGAAGCCACGGCUAACUACGUGCCAGCAGCCGCCGCGG